rnacentral:rRNA from 1 species
UACGGAGGGUGCAAGCGUUAUCCGGAUUCACUGGGUUUAAAGGGUGCGUAGGUGGGUUGAUAAGUCAGUGGUGAAAUCCCCGAGCUUAACUUGGGAACUGCCAUUGAUACUAUUAGUCUUGAAUACCGUGGAGGUCGGCGGAAUAUGUCAUGUAGCGGUGAAAUGCUUAGAUAUGACAUAGAACACCAAUUGCGAAGGCAGCUGGCUACACAUAUAUUGACACUGAGGCACGAAAGCGUGGGGAUCAAACAGG